AUUCCUACGGGAGGCAGCAGUAGGGAAUAUUGGACAAUGGGCGAAAGCCUGAUCCAGCCAUGCCGCGUGGUAGAUGAAGGCCCUCUGGGUUGUAAAUACCUUUUAUCUGGGAAGAAAUAUCUCAUUCUUGAGAAACUGACGGUACCAGAUGAAUAAGCACCGGCUAACUCCGUGCCAGCAGCCGCGGUAAUAAU
rnacentral:rRNA from 1 species